CGGCAACGGAUAUCUCGGCUCUCGCAUCGAUGAAGAACGUAGCGAAAUGCGAUACUUGGUGUGAAUUGGAGAAUCCCGUGAACCAUCGAGUCUUUGAACGCAAGUUGCGCCCGAAGCCAUCAGGCCGAGGGCACGCCAGCCUGGGCGUCACACGCCGUUGCCCCC
rnacentral:rRNA from 1 species